ACCGGAGCUUGCUCCACGGGAAAAGAAGGGUGGCGAACGGGUGAGUAACACGUGGGUAACCUGCCCAUCAGAAGGGGAUAACACUUGGAAACAGGUGCUAAUACCGUAUAACAAUCAAAACCGCAUGGUUUUGAUUUGAAAGGCGCUUUCGGGUGUCGCUGAUGGAUGGACCCGCGGUGCAUUAGCUAGUUGGUGAGGUAACGGCUCACCAAUGCCACGAUGCAUAGCCGACCUGAGAGGGUGAUCGGCCACAUUGGGACUGAGACACGGCCCAAACUCCUACGGGAGGCAGCAGUAGGGAAUCUUCGGCAAUGGACGAAAGUCUGACCGAGCAACGCCGCGUGAGUGAAGAAGGUUUUCGGAUCGUAAAACUCUGUUGUUAGAGAAGAACAAGGAUGACCAGUACUGUUCAUCCCUUGACGGUAUCUAACCAGAAAGCCACGGCUAACUACGUGCCAGCAGCCGCGGUAAUACGUAGGUGGCAAGCGUUGUCCGGAUUUAUUGGGCGUAAAGCGAGCGCAGGCGGUUUCUUAAGUCUGAUGUGAAAGCCCCCGGCUCAACCGGGGAGGGUCAUUGGAAACUGGGAGACUUGAGUGCAGAAGAGGAGAGUGGAAUUCAUGUGUAGCGGUG
rnacentral:rRNA from 1 species